UUAAAUGACUUUACUAAAUUAAGUGAUCACAACGGACUUCCUUUCUUCGAAUGGCGUCGUUGGGUUACUGCUCUGAAGUGGGUUCGAUUUUAGAAUAACGUGCUGAACUAAAUCGGUUAGUCUACUAAUACUCCAAAUUCUGACACAAUAAGGGUUGCAGUUACUACUUAACCUGCAAGGACAUGUCCUCUGUGUGUACUAACUACCGUUGUACUGGCUGGUUGAGUGCUCCCCUUGAUUCAGCGUUGUAGUACACAAAUCUUCGUUCACUGUAACGCAGCGUUCAGUAUGUGUGGCUCAUCUCUAAUGCUACAGUGAACUAUCGUACUGGCAAUGCCGUUAAAUGUUGUUCUGCGAUAUUUGUGUGAAGAUAGGGCGGGUUUGAAUCCCUCUUCCUCCUGGCGCUUGCUGUUACUAAGCUGUUCAUCGUUCCAAUGGUUUUUGCGCCGUUUCUGGAAAACUUGAUGAAAUUACCCACAGUAACCCUUGGCCAUUACUUACUCUACACAAUCGCCGUACUCAUCUCUACCCUAUAAUGGACUGGAAAACCCUUCAUUUGCUGAGCAAUCAUUUUUGUCACGUUUGAUGUCCGCUGGCGUAAAUAGUGGAAAACAACGACGAAACCUGUUUGUCACAGCGGCUACGGCAUGAUUAUUUAUAUCGAUAUAGAUACUUCCAUUAUUUCGA
rnacentral:lncRNA from 1 species